rfam:Archaeal BJ1 virus complete genome
GGAUCGAUAGCUCAGUCAGGGAGAGCACCGGCCUGAAGCGCUGGCGUGCCUCGGUUCGAAUCCGAGUCGAUCCA